AGGCGACUCCCCCAAUGCGAGGAGUAAUAUCACCCCCCUCUCCACCCCUGGAUAUGACGAUCCACAUCGAAGGGGGGUAGACGCCACUAGCGACGCGGGGAGACAUAUCACCCCCCUAUCGCCCCCUGGAUAUGCUGAUCCACAUCGCAGGGUGGUGAGGCACCCCCCGCGAUGCGGGGAGUAAGAGCCAGCCCCUCUUGCCCCCCCUGGCUCUUAGGACCCCCAUCGCAGGGGGGUGAGGCACCCCCCGCAACGCGGGGAGUAAAAGCCAGCCCCUCUUGCCCCCCCUGGCUCUUAGGACCCGCCUCGCAGGGUGGUGAGGCACCCCCCGCGAUGCGGGGAGUAAGAGCCAGCCCCUCUUGCCCCACUGGCUCUUAGGAUCCGCGGUGGACUCACAGCCUGUUUACCAUAUCGAUCAUGGGAACAAUAGCCCUCGGGGGUGUCCACUUUCUGCCAUCUAUGUGUUCGUAUCAACCCAUCCGCCUUGGAAUAUUAUUAAGGACCAUUUCACAGGGGGGUGUACAGUUCCUGCGAUAUUGGGAACAAUAUCAGCCUCUCGGCCUCUGAAUAUUAGGAAGCAUAUCACAGGAGAAGAAAGGCGGAGAGUCCUCCAAGCAGCAACUAAGUGGCUAGAGGAACAUGCACCAGCUGAUUAGCAAAACCCCCAAGAGUAUGGAAGGACCCAUUUACCAGGAACCGACCCCCAGUUGGACCCACAUGAAAGAGAGGAUAUGCAAAGGCUAAACCGAGACAGGGAAGCUCUCUUGGAAGGAUUCAUGAGGGGAGCUCAGAAGGCCACAAACGUUAGCAAGCUCUCUGAGGUCAUUCAGGGAAAAGAAGAAAGUGCAGCACAAUUCUACAAGAGACUACAUGAGGCCUAUCGUAUGUAUACUCCCUUUGAUCCCGAUAGCCCUGAAAUCAGUGCAUGAUUCACAUGGCUUUAGUCCGUCAAAGUGCAGAAGACAUGAGAAGAAAACUGCAGAAACAGGCUGGGCUUGCAGGGAUGAAUACAUCACAAUUACUAGAAAUAGCUAGCCAGGUGUUUGUAAACAGGGAUGCAGCAAGCCCUAAGGAAAACGGCAAAGAGAAUGGAAGUCAGGCCUGGAGAAACACCGACCUGGUUGUUAGCUGCAGCAAUCAGAGGGGACCCCCAAAGAGGCAAGGGAAGGGGGGCCCCGGGAAAGAAACUCAGCUUGGCUGUCAGAGUUUGCAGCAUACCCAGUGUGCUUAUAGUAAAGAAAUAAGAAAGUGGAAGAACAAAUGCCCUCAGCUCAAAAGAAAACAAGGUGACUCAGAGCAGGAGGCCCCGGACAAGGAGGAAGGGGCCCUGCUCAACCUGGCAGAAGGGUUCUUGGACUGAGGGAGACCAGGCUCAAGCGUCCCCAAGAGCCUCUGGUCAGAAUGACAGUCCGGGGUAGAGACAUUGAUUUUCUUGUAAAUAGAGGUGCUGAACAUUCGCUAGUAACUGCCCCGGUUGCCCCCUUAUCCAAAAAGAUGAUUGACAUCAUCGGAGCCAUGGGGGUUUCAGCAAAGCAAGCUUUCUGCUUGCCUCGGACUUCUACUGUAGGAGAACAUAAAGUCAUUCAUCAGUUUUGGUACAUGCCUGACUGUCCCUUGCCCUUUUUGGGAAGGGACUUGCUCAGCAAGCUGAGAGCCACUAUCUCUUUGACAGAGCAUGGCUCUUUGCUGCCAAAGUUACCCGGAACGGGAGUCAUUAUGACCCUUAUGGUCCCCGAGAGUAGGAAUGGAGACUUUUCUGAACUGAGCUGGGCCAAGAGAGAAGAUCAGCUCUGGCUAAGCGGUGGCCAAGAGUACGGGCGGAAGACAACCCUCCGGGAUUGGCCAGGUAAGACUGGGGCCCAGCCGGUGAGGCAGAAACAGGACCCGGUCCCCAGAGAAGCCCUUCAAGGUAUCCAGGUCCAUCUCAAGCACCUAAGAACUUUUGGAAUUAUUGUUCCUUGUCAGUCUGCGUGGAACACUCACCUCCUGCCUGUUUCCAAGCCACGGACCAAGGACUACCGGCCGGUACAGGAUUUGCACUUGUUUCAUCAAGCUACACUGACUUUACAUCCAACAGUACCUAACCCGUCCACAUUGUUGGGGUUGCUGCCAGCUGAGGACAGCUGGUUCACCUGCUUUGACCUGAAAGAUGCUUUCUUUCCUAUCAGAUUAGCCCCUGAGAGGCAGAAGCUGUUUGCCUUUCAGUGGGAAGAUCCGGAGUCAGGUGUCACUACUCAGUACACUUGGACCGGGCUUCCCAAAGGGUUCAAGAACUCCCCCACCAUCUUCGGGGAGGCAUUGGCUCGAGACCUCCAGAAGUUUCCCAGCAGAGACCUAGGCUGUGUGUUGCUCCAGUAGGUUGAUGACCUUCUGCUGGGACACCCCACGGCAGUCGGGUGCGCCAAGGGAACAGAUGCCCUACACCGGCACCUGGAGGACUGUGCGUAGAAGGUGUCCAAGAAGAAAGCUCAGAUCUGCCGACAGCAGGUACCUUACUUGGGAUUUACUAUCUGACAGGGGUCGGAAGGCAGCCCAGGAUCAGAAAGAAAGCAGGUCAUUUGCAAUCUACCAGAGCCUAAGGGCAGAAAGCAGGAAAUGCUUAUAGACCCCUGGUCUAAACACUGAGAGGUAAGGGGACUCUGUUGCGCCACCCUGGAAGGAUUUUGAUCCCUAAAUAAGAAGAGGUGAGGAGGAAGCCUGCCCUUCCUAUGGCUUGAAUGUGCUUGUGAGAGGCAGUCAAGCCUGGAACUGUGGCAGCCGGCUUGUGACCAUGAAGCAACCAGCCCGAAAAGAAAGACCCACCUGCCGAGGAGGGGACAGGAGCCUGGGGCCUCGAGGAUGUUGCUGAGCCUCCGUGUGCCCCUGGGGCCGCCUUCCUCUGGAGUUCUUGUGAUGGCAGAUAAUUCAAUGUUGUCAUUGUUCAAGCCAGGGAUGGGUGAACUUUUUCCAUAAAGGGCCACGUGGAAAACAUUUUAGGCUCUGGGUGUGCCAUAAGAUCUCUGUGGGCACUACAAUCCUAAAAACAACCAUAGACAAUGUGUAAAUGAACGGGUACACCUAUGGUCCAAUAAAACUUUAUUUAUAAAAAUAGGUGGUGGGCUGGAUUUGGCCCUGAGGGUCAG